rnacentral:rRNA from 1 species
UGACGCUGGCGGCAGGCCUAACACAUGCAAGUCGAGCGAGAAAGCACUUCGGUGUGAGUACAGCGGCGGACGGGUGAGUAACGCGUAGGAAUCUACCCAGUAGUGGGGGGCAACAGUUGGAAACAGCUGCUAAUACCGCAUACGCCCUACGGGGGAAAGCGGGGGAUCUUCGGACCUCGCGCUAUUGGAUGAGCCUGCGUCGGAUUAGCUUGUUGGUGGGGUAAAAGCCUACCAAGGCGACGAUCCGUAGCUGGUCUGAGAGGAUGAUCAGCCACACUGGGACUGAGACACGGCCCAGACUCCUACGGGAGGCAGCAGUGGGGAAUAUUGCGCAAUGGGGGCAACCCUGACGCAGCCAUGCCGCGUGUGUGAAGAAGGCCCUAGGGUUGUAAAGCACUUUCAAAAGCGAGGAAAAGCUCAUGCCUAAUACGUAUGAGCCCUGACGUUAACUUUAGAAGAAGCACCGGCUAACUCCGUGCCAGCAGCCGCGGUAAU